rnacentral:rRNA from 1 species
GAUGAACGCUGGCGGCGUGCCUAAUACAUGCAAGUCGAGCGAACAGACGAGGAGCUUGCUCCUCUGAUGUUAGCGGCGGACGGGUGAGUAACACGUGGAUAACCUGCCUAUAAGACUGGGAUAACUUCGGGAAACCGGAGCUAAUACCGGAUAACAUGUUGAACCGCAUGGUUCAACAGUGAAAGACGGUCUUGCUGUCACUUAUAGAUGGAUCCGCGCCGCAUUAGCUAGUUGGUAAGGUAACGGCUUACCAAGGCAACGAUGCGUAGCCGACCUGAGAGGGUGAUCGGCCACACUGGAACUGAGACACGGUCCAGACUCCUACGGGAGGCAGCAGUAGGGAAUCUUCCGCAAUGGGCGAAAGCCUGACGGAGCAACGCCGCGUGAGUGAAGAAGGUCUUCGGAUCGUAAAACUCUGUUAUUAGGGAAGAACAAAUGUGUAAGUAACUAUGCACGUCUUGACGGUACCUAAUCAGAAAGCCACGGCUAACUACGUG